rnacentral:rRNA from 1 species
UGGGGAAUUUUGGACAAUGGGCGCAAGCCUGAUCCAGCCAUUCCGCGUGCAGGACGAAGGCCUUCGGGUUGUAAACUGCUUUUGUACGGAACGAAAAGGCUCUGGCUAAUACCUGGGGCUCAUGACGGUACCGUAAGAAUAAGCACCGGCUAACUACGUGCCAGCAGCCGCGGUAAUACGUAGGGUGCAAGCGUUAAUCGGAAUUACUGGGCGUAAAGCGUGCGCAGGCGGUUAUGUAAGACAGAGGUGAAAUCCCCGGGCUCAACCUGGGAACUGCCUUUGUGACUGCAUAGCUGGAGUACGGCAGAGGGGGAUGGAAUUCCGCGUGUAGCAGUGAAAUGCGGAGAUAUGCGGAGGAACACCGAUGGCGAAGGCAAUCCCCUGGGCCUGUACUGACGCUCAUGCACGAAAGCGUGGGGAGCAAACA